rnacentral:lncRNA from 1 species
AAAAUGGCAAUAAUUACCUCAAACGUGGGCAUUCAUCCUGGUUUUAGCCUUUUUUGAAAUCAUGUAGCCAGCUUGAUCUUGAGAUUUAAAAGACUGAAUUCUGUGUGGGCUGAAAAUAUUGAUUAAUGCACACCCUGGUUGUUGUUGCUUAAGUGAAUUCUAACAAAAGUUCAUCUUUAGAGAAGAAAUUAAACCAAGGAAGGGAUGAUUCUCUGCGUAUUGUAAUUAAAUGUGAUGUUCCAGUAUACCCACGCACAGCAUAUAUAUUCUUAGCUACUGUAAAAUGCUGUUAGCCUUCUGAGAUACCAAGAGUCUCACUUUAAACAAGUAAACUAAGUAAAUGACUCUGGAUACUUAAGCAUAUUUCUGGCUACGUUUUAUAGUUAAAGUGUUUUAUAGUUUACAUUUAAACUGGUACUUUUUAAAGAAAAUUCCUGUUUCUAACUGACAUCUCCAAACCCCAGCAAUUGCCUCUACAGGAGGAGGCCGUGUAUCCCCAAGUCACCUUUGUUCUACCUAUACUGUCCUGUGGCCCAGUGUGUGCAUUUCCCUCCAUAACGCUGGUUUCCAGGCGAGCUAGAGAGAAUGUGAAAGGAAGUCGGGAUGGGGUGGGAAGGGUCAGACCCCAGCUCUGGCCGGCUGGGGUCUCAUGCCGUGUUGGAUCCACGCUUGUCUGCAGGCCUCUGACACCUUGGAAGAGGCAGCAAAAACUGACCCCUGGUCCAUUGAUUUUUUUCUUGAUUUGAAUAUUUCACUUGUUCAUAGAUCUACUCGCUUCCAUUCACCAGGCAAUAGAAGACACUGGGAUUCAGGUGGCCCCAGAGAUCCAGCUGCUAUUUCCUGGGCCACCAGUGAUAUUCUGAGCAAUGUCGAAAAGAAGAACAAUACACCUCCAUGCCUGUAUUCAUUGGCUGGGGUUUUUGUAUAUCUGCUGUCUUACUCAUUCUCUCCUUUAAACAAAAAUCAGUGCAAAAGGACGUGUCUACUUUUCACGCAUGGUCAAGCUGAGAUGUGAGGCCCAGUUCAGUGAGCGUGAAAAGUAGGUUCAGUUCAGAGACUGAGCUGCUGAGCCCAAGGAUCUGGAGAAGGAGGAGCCCAGGCCGGUCCCCCAAGGCCUGGUGCACAGAGAGGGCUUGUGACAAUGAGAGAGCUUAGGGCAGGCUGGGAAGUGCUGUUUUCCUUAAGUCUUGUUUGGUUUUUAUUUUCUCUUGUGCCACCACCGGACUGUGGAGGACCUGCUGUGACCUCAGGUGCGAUUCAUUCCUCUAACAGAUGCGACCUUGAGAACUGCAGCACACUCAGGACCAGGGAGCUCUCUGUUCACAUCGUACCUUGGAUUUCUCCCUGUGGGCCACAGGGACACCAGGGUCUUGUUUGGCUUUCUUUGUUAGAAUUGUUGCUAUGGAGUGCUCUUUCCUCUCGCCCUCUUAACUGUCCUCCCACCUUUGUGUGUGCUCGUGUGUGUGUGUGCACGCGUGUGCUUUUCCUUUGCACUAAUUAACCAAAUGAAUUUUGUGUCAUUGUCUUUGGGGCUCAUCUAUAUUUUUAAAAACUAGAGGUAUAGAAAUUGGCUCUUUUUAUUGUUUGAAAAGUAUGUUUUAAAGAGGGCUCUGGUAUUGCUCUUUCUAGUUCCCUUUCAACCAAGUCUCCAAAUGAAUCUCUCCUGGCACCGCCCCCCAGUUUUCCUUGUGUUGGGUCACUGUCCCUGUGGCCACCUCAGCCUCCACCUGCUGUCACCACAGCCCCGUGCCCAGGCACCCAGGACUUCCGAGAAGCUUGAGAGCCAGGCCGAAAGGCCCUUUGCCUGCUGUCAGAGAGCCACCCACUGGGCUCCAGGGACACUGGGUUAUUACUGUUGAGUCACCUGGCUCAGGUGGGAAGGAGGAACUUGGGAAGUGAAGUCCCUUUGUGCACUGCCCACCCCCCUUGUCUCUGUGUCCCUGCUUAUUUAAAGCUUGCUUUUUUCCAUGCUUUCCCAGGGCAUAACCAUUUCAGGCCCCCAAAGCAUCUCUUCACCCUCUUCACGUGCGUUUUUUUAACCAAAUGAAAUAAAGGAGAAAGGCACACUCUGGGGCAGCAGAAGCCCUAGUUAGUAGAAUCACUGUGUAGACAGAGUUGUUGAUAUAUAUGUCUGUGGAUAUAUAUCAAACCAAAUUCUGGUAGGAGAAGAUAGCUUUACGGCUGAGGGGAAGCGGAGCCCUGUAGAGGUCGGAGCCAGCCUUAGCAUGGGCAUCCCUGCUCCUUCACACAUGGGCCAGGUGGCCCUUGUCCCUCUCACCACAGUGGAGCUGGGUCCUGAGGGGGGCCACCGCUCUCUGGUCCCCAGCAUCAAGGACAUGGAUGAGGAAGAGGUGGCAGCCGAUCAGAAUGACUGGAAUUUUCCAGGCUGUUUUCCUUUGACCACACAUACUGAGCUGCAGCCCGAUAGUAUAUCACAUUUCCAGAAAUGAUACCCAUUAGGAUGGAAAGAGAACAGAUCUGUAGAAAUGUUUACCUUCCAGCUGCCCAUGAAUUCAGGACACUCUGGACAGACAGGCACACUCGCCAGAAAGCCAGCGGGAAAGAGGAAGCCUGGUGACACCCGGUCCCCAGCCCUAGGUACAUGGCUCCCUCCUGGUCACCUCACCCAGCUCUUUCUCUACCGGGUCAUCUUAGCUCAAUCUCAGUAACCCCAUGAAGCCCUGGUCCGUUGUGUUUCUCACUGUACGGUUUCUGUAAUAAAAAGUGUUAAUCCAUGUUAAUCUGUGUGAAAAUUAUUGCGUGCAACAGUAUUUUCUUGUGUACCUCUUUUCCCUCUGUGAAUUGUCCCUCUUUUCUUUUUUAUUUAUAAAUGUCUACUUUUUUAAAGACAAACCAAUGUGUUGUAGACCUCUGUGUAACUAUUCCUUAGUCUCAUAUUAUAGGUAUGUUAUAAGAAUGGAUAUUUUACUUGGCUUUAGAAUGUUUUACAAGAAAACUAAUUCUUAACUGAUCAAGUCCUUGCUACUAAAAUGCUUGUGUUUUUUCAUCAUGAUGUCGUGUGCUUCUAAAUUAAUCAUUUUCGUUGUAGAAAAAUGGAGUGAAUUUAUAUUAGUCUUGGAAACUAAUAGCAUUGUAAAUUUAUGAGAUGAUUUUAACAGAAAAAAUUAUAGAAGAAUAUAGUUAUUUUAAUUGUAAUAUUACUAACUGUAGGGUGAGAAACGGGGUCCUGUUGUGGUGAACUAUGUUAUAGCUUGUUACAGUUUCUUUUGAUCAUUUUUUCGGUCUCUGAGGUGAAACGAGUUAUUAAUUAAAAUUUGUAAACUCACAUAUGCAUAUUGUAUAUGUGUAGAAAUGUAAUCACACUUCGUCUUGGAAUUACAUUAAACUGUUUGGAAUCACUGGACA